rnacentral:rRNA from 1 species
UACGUAGGGUGCAGGCGUUGUUCGGAAUUACUGGGCGUAAAGGGCUCGUAGGUGGCCAACUAAGUCAGACGUGAAAUCCCUCAGCUUAACUGGGGAACUGCGUCUGAUACUGGAUGGCUUGAGUUUGGGAGAGGGAUGCGGAAUUCCAGGUGUAGCGGUGAAAUGCGUAGAUAUCGGGAGGAACUCCGGUGGCGAAGGCGGCGUGCUGGACCCUUUCUGACGCUGAGGCGCGAAGGCCAGGGGAGCAAACGGG